GGGGCCCUUACGGCCACCAAGUUCAUCCCCUUGCCUCUGAGCAUCACCACUCCUAAGUAAUUCCAAGAAGAUGAGAUGAAGGGCCAAUCUGGUGAAAAUCAGUACCCUUUAUACUUUCUGCAGUGUUCACAUUUUGUGUGAUUCUCAGUGGAGGGAAAAAAGAAAGUGACAGAAUGGAAGAUAUGCCUGAGUUCCCUGAAGAACAAUGAGAGGCUUCACAGAACUCAGUUUGGAAGAUGACACACGUGUUGUAGUUACAGAGUGAUAUUCCCGUGACACUUGAAGAACUGCCCAGGGGAUUCUGUAUAUGGGAUGUUCAAAGUUGAUUAACCAUCCAUCCUCUCCCAUCGACCCCUUGGCCACUGCUAUAGGUGAUGAUUCUGAACUCCCUAGGCAUAAAGCUCCUGUAGAAGGCAAAGACCUUUCCUCGUCUGAUUACUGCCACCACGAAAUAGAUUGAAAAAAAAAAUCAUUUUAUAUCAACCAGUAGCAUCCCAAUCCACGGAGGGGUGUCUCCUAAAGCUAUCAAGAUAGUAUCAGAGUCUUAAUCAUUUCUGGAAUAGUGAGAGCCCCAGAACCAACCAGCACCCACAAAGGCUGCAACCCCAGGGCCAACUGCCGUCAGCCGGGACAGACACCCGCUUGGGAUUCAAUCUCUGAACUCUGUGACCCAGAGCAUGUGCCGGCGGGCUCCUGCUAUUCACCCAGGCACGGUGGCAGAGUGGGCUCUGACCUCCUGGAGCUAGAGAAUCACAAAGCCCUGGUCAUUGCUGUUGAGAGGGCUGGGAACAGCAUGGGACUGCUGCAAACACACCCACACACAUACGAACGUGCACUAAAUACCCGUAAUCAAAUGCUCCUCAUGGUGGACACACGCUUAGCUAGCGC
ensembl:lncRNA